AUCCUCGCAACCGCCUAUUACAACAUAUGACUAUUACCAAUAUUGAAAUCACAGAUUAGUCUGAGCUAAAUGUUAAAUGUCUGUGUUCUGCAGAAGAAAAAGUGCAAGGAGGAAAUGAAAAGUAACUGUCAAUACCCUGUGUUCAUUAUAUGGAAGCACACAGACACCCUAAGCACACCCUCCUGGAGAAGAAGGAAUUCACACUUCUAAUAUCCCUUGGAUGCAGAAGAAUUUGAAGUACAAAAAGGAAGAAGGAAAAAAACUUGGUUAAAAAUGCCUAUUUCUACCCAGUUCAGAACAGUGGAAAUCAGCUAACUUAACUAAAUCUGAAUGACUGAAGAAAAACAGAUUGAUUUCCAGGACACAAUUCAUUUGACUUAUAUUAAUAUCUUCUCAGAAUGAUACUGCGUUAAAUUUAGGAAGUUAUUGACACAUAGGACUUUAAGAAAGCUUCAUGCUGGAGCGCCCGGAAGACUAGAAGUCAGAAAAGUUCAGUUCAGUUUCUUCACUGUGAUGACCAGAUUAAAGGAUGUAUCUUCACAAGAAAGAUACUUAAGAAAAAUACCUUUAGCAAUGAUCCUAGACAAAGUGACUAGAUGUAAAGGUCACGACAGGAUUUACUUUCAAUUUGUUCACUGUUGUUUGGCUUUUGUAAGUCAAUACAGUACACAAAAUGCAAUGACAAUUGUUUGGUCAGCUUUGGACUAGCUAUUAGUGUAAGAAAAAUGAAGCAUAUUUGUCAUUUUUGGGCAAAGAAUGUACAUGUACUCUACUGAUACAAAGCCUACCUUAACAGACUGCUUGACAGAAAUGAACUUUUGUUUUUUCCUGAAUUGAAUAUCAUUGCCUUGGAGACAAGAAAUGAACAUGAACAUUGUGUGAAUCACGUUCUCUUUCUGACUGAAGGUAUACAAAACAGAAGAAUAUCAACAAUUGAACUAUAACAGACAGGGACAAACUAAAAAGGCACAUAGGAUAUUCUUCCAGACAUAUAUUUUUACCUGUCUCUAAUUUAAACUAACCAACAAAAUAAUGUGGAGAUAAUGCACACAUAAACACAUACAGUGUUCCUGUUCAAAAAGACAUUUUCAAAUGGCUAUAAAUUUUGUUUAUAGGGAUGAGAAAUAACUUUAAACUACUCCUAACUAAGAACAGUGUGGAAUAAACUAUAAUCACUUAUGAAA